GAAGAACAAGACUAAGAAAAUUUAAGGUGAUUUGCAUUUAUAAUCAGCAAACGACUCAACAUAUCAGAAUGAGAAGAACAUUCAGGAAUCACCAGGCAGGACAAGAUCAAGGAGGCAACAAGGAAGCAUUUGUUUUGGCCAAAUAAAGUUUGCAGAUCUUUUAAUGCUAAUAUUAGUAAUAAAACCAUCACUGGGAUAUUGGUUUGGCAAUGUUUAAUUAAUGGCCCUGAGCUUUAUGAUCUUUAUUACAUAUGUAUUUAAUGCAACUACACAUACAUGUAAUAUGUACCAUGUAGGCUUAUUUAUUUAUAUUAAUAAUUAAUAUGAUCUUUUCAAACUUAGCCGAAGUUGUUCAACAUAAAAAUACUCAAAUAUUCAGUGUUCUUGAUUAAAUUAGCAUCAAUGGACAUAAUUAAAUAAAGAAAAUCGGAUUAUUACGAUGAUUGGUUUAGUUAGCUACAUUAGUGUUAUUUUGUCUAAUUAUCAAGGAUAACAUUUAAUUAUAUAUAAUAUGUCCUUCAUAUUUUCUCUUUUAAUUAAAAUCGUAAAAAGACUUGCAAUAUAGACCAUGCAUUUGUUAUGUUGUUUAUUGGAGUGAAUUGGUGUUUUUGUUGUGAUUGUCAAAUAUUGUCUUUGUAAGUUAUCUAUUUUGUAUAUAUGAAAUCAACGAGAGUUUCACUCUUAUGGAAGGAUGUUGCUAGGUACCAAGAAGUAAGAACUGAUAGUUGUGUUAAUUAAUUAGUAUAAGUUAGCUGAAUGUUCAAUGUUCAUGCUCUUUUGAGCUACAUAUGACAAUGAAAAUUGAGUUUCUGUGUAAAAUAUGAAGCUAUUCAAUCAAGCAACUCUGCUUUUCAAUUUUCUUACAUCUAAGUCAAAUAGCACUCUUUUAUAAAUCUUCGAGAGAACAAAGCUAAUGCAGGUUCGUACUUAUUAAAUUUAACAUCAGACAAUGAAGUGUAAAAAGUGAAAUUCUUAUCUAUGAUAAACACCUAAAAUAAUUGCAUUGAGUUUUUCAAUUUUCAAAUUUUCAUUGCUAACUCAACAAUUGAGAGACUGAAACAUAUGGAAUAAGAAAUUAACAUAUUCAACCCAAAAGAUUAUUCAACUUAGAUGAUUCAAUAUAACACCUAAUAAGCUUAUGAGUCUUAUUUAAGGAAUAUUAUAAUUUUACUUGGAUUGCUAGAAAUCACGGGAUGUUAUUCAUUUAAGCAUGUGAUACACUUGUUUGAUGAAUUGCUUAUAUGAGUAGAUUAGAUUUUUAUUUUGGUCAUAUUUCUUAUUUUUCUAAUCCCAUCUGUCCCCUAUUCCCUAUCCCGCAUCAAAUGGUGAUAAGAGUUUCCCUAUCAUAUGUCGAACCCAUUAAAGCCAAAAGUAAGAAGUUAAAGAACUAUUUUGUACUGGUUAUACAAAGAACUAUAUUACAAUACUCCACACCCACCCAAAAAAAAAAAAAAAAAUGAAGGCACCAUUCAUACUUCCAAAUCCAGCACUAGCACUUGAAAACAAUAUAAACAAAGGAAUUUGCCAAUAAAAAAGUCAGCUGCAGAAAGCCAAGAAGAUGCAACUAGAAGCUAAGGGAUGUAAGGGAAGGAAAUCUAUUCCGAAAGAACUCCAAAUUGAAUUCAGCAAGUAACAUUGACUUGCCCAGUUACAAAAGGAAGCCACUUUAAUCCUUUAAGAUGAUUCUGAUGAAAUUGGUUCCCUGUAUUGAAACAAUAAACUGCACCAAGGAUAGCACUAAAGGCAGAGCCAGAUUACAAGGGAAGAAAAAAGGGAGGAAAAAAAAUUUUACAACAUGAAAUUGGACUUUUGUUUUAUCUUCCACAAGCAAGAAGUUCGACUAGAAAAGUAUAAAACAAGUACAAAAUAUGAAAUUUUUAGCAAUCUUACAAAAUCACACCUAAAUCUCAAUAAGAUUGUACAUAGUUUUAGUAAAGCUCUACAACUAUUUAUUUAACACCUAAUAAGAUCAUCUCCAUAAUUUUAAAAGCUUACACAAAGAAAGAAUACUUUUGAAUACAAAUAUACAAUGGAGUAGAGAACAAAAAAUGACAUAGAGGGAAAAAAAACACCAAGAGCAGAAAGAGUACAUAUACCAUCUCUAGCCCAUAAUUCAGACUUAUCCCCAUUGCACUUAUAAAUCAAGAUAUGAAGUUUAGGGUCUAAAGUCUUCAACUCCUUGUAGUUCUUCUCCACAGAUGAUCUGUAAAAGUUAUAAGAGAAAGGUAAUUAGUUUGCAACUCUUUCUAGCAAGUUGAUUAGUAAUUCCUAAACAAGUUUAUAGCUUAUUAAUUAUAGUUGGAAUGCCCCCAAAGUUACUAAAACACAAACAAUAGAAACAAUGAGUUUUAAAUUAGUUGUGAGCAAUGCAUAUUCUACCAUCAUUCUCAUUUUGGUCUCCCAUGAAUAUGAUGGCAAUAUGUAUAAUGGUAUUUUCCCAAUAUCAGACUAAGACAACAUCUUUAUAACAAUAAUUCUGACAUUUUCUACUAUUUUUAUUUUUUUGCUAACAAAAUGUACAUCAGAACAUAAAUUUGAAGAAAAAUAAAAUUUAAGCAUACUCAUGUCAUUUAAUCAUAAAAAUGAAUAUCAAAAUUAAGCCUAGAUCUCAACAAUUAAACUCUAAACAAAUUAAACCAAAAAAAAAAAAAACAGCUACCCAAAUGAUGGCGUUAAAAGGUUUGAGGACUUGUACGAUAUCCAACAUUUGCGAACAUUUUUACCGAAAAUCUUCGUCAUCUAUCAUACAUUCCUGAAUAUUGUGAUGGCGUUAAAAGGUUUGAGGACUUGUACGAUAUCCAACAUUUGCGAACAUUUUUACCAGUAACGUUGUCAAAUAGUUCGCGUGGACACUUGGCUUAUAGCAUUCUUCCUAAGUUGUUCAAACUCCAACGCUUGAGGGUCUUCUCUUUGUUUGGAUACCGCAUCUCUGAGCUACCAAAUUCAGUUGGUGAUUUGAGGUAUUUAAGGUACCUUAACCUGUCUGGAACUGAGAUUAGAACUCUACCUGAAUCAGUCAGCAAGCUUUACAAUUUGCAUAGUCUUUUGUUGGAAGAUUGUGAUCGGCUGGAGAAGUUGUGUGCACACAUGGGAAAUCUCGUCAAAUUGCAUCAUCUUAAGAAUUCAAAUACGAAGUCGUUGGAGGAAAUGCCGGUAGGAAUUGGCAGGCUGACUUGUCUUCAGACGUUGUGUAAUUUUAUUGUGGGAAAAGACAGUGGUUCCGGGUUAGGAGAGCUAAAGUUGUUGACGCAACUUAGGGGGACACUUUGCAUUUCAAAUUUGGAGAAUGUAAAACACAUUGUUGAUGCCGAGGACGCUCAAUUGGAUAGAAAGGAGAAUCUUAAAGAAUUAUGGUUUCGAUGGACACUCUAUGGCUCGUAUCCAAGGGAGGCAGAAACUGAAAUGGGCGUGCUUGACAUGCUAAAACCUCAUACAAAUCUGGAGCAAUUUUGUAUCAAAGGCUAUGGAGGUAUGAAAUUUCCAACUUGGUUGGGAGAUUCCUCAUUCUCAAAAUUGGUGACCCUAAAAUUUAAAAAUUGUGACAUGUGUACUGCCCUGCCGUCUGUCGAGCAACUGCCCUCUCUAAAGCAUCUUACAGUGCGUGGAAUGAGCAAAGUAAAGAGAUUGGGUUCAGAGUUCUAUGGGGAUGACUCUCCAAUUCCAUUUCCAUGCUUGGAGACUCUUCGUUUUGAAGACCUGCAAGAAUGGGAAGACUGGAUUCCUCAUGGAUCCAGUCAGGGAGUUGAACGGUUUCCUAAAUUGAGAGAGCUUCGCAUUUUAAGAUGUUCUAAACUGAAAGGAACAUUUCCAGAGCACCUUCCUGCAUUGGAGAUGCUUGUUAUUGAAGGAUGUGAAGAAUUGUUAGUUUCAGUUUCGAGUCUUCCAGCUCUUUGCAAAUUUAUAAUUGGUGGAUGCAAAAAGGUUGUGUGGGAAAGUGCAACUGGUCAUCUCGGAUCACAGAAUUCAGUGGUUUGUAGAGAUACCUCAAAUCAAGUGUUUCUUGCGGGGCCAUUGAAGCCACAACUACCGAAAUUGGAAGAAUUGGAGAUAAAUGAUAUGAAAGAGCAGACGUAUAUAUGGAAGAGUCAUAACGAAUUACUGCAAGACGUUUGCUCUCUCAGAAGACUGACGAUUGCAAGCUGUCCCAAACUUCAAUCCUUGGUGGCGGAGGAAGAGAAAGACCAACAACAGCAGCUCUGCGAGUUGUCAUGCAGACUUGAAUAUCUAGCAUUGAGCGGAUGCGAAGGCCUUGUGAAGCUGCCACAAUCAUCGCUCAACCUCAAUUCCUUGAGAGAGAUAGAAAUCUACGGCUGCAAGUCCCUUGUUUCCUUUCCUGAGGUUGCUCUGCCUUCCAAGUUGAAGAAAAUUCAGAUUAGAGAAUGUGACGCACUGAAAUCGUUACCAGAGGCAUGUAUGUGCGACACCAAUUCGUCUCUCGAGAUCUUGGAGAUUUUGGAUUGCCAUUCGUUGACAUAUAUUGCUGGAGUCCAGCUACCACCGAGCCUUAAGAGGUUGCACAUCACUUCUUGCGAUAAUAUAAGGACUUUGACAGUGGAAGAGGGCAUCCAGUGUAGCAAUAGCAGUACUUAGGUAUUGUCGAUUGUCGAUCUCUGACAUGUAUAUUUUCAAAAAACGAGUUACCUACCACGCUUGAGUCCCUUGAAGUUGGCAAUCUACCUCCGUCUCUUAAGGGCCUUUAUGUUUAUGGAUGUUCGAAGCUGGAGUCAAUAGCAGAAAGGUUGGACAACAACACAUCUCUUGAAUACAUCAACAUUUAUAAUUGUGAAAAUUUGAAGAUUUUACCGAGUGGUUUACAUAAUCUCCGCCAGCUUCAAGAGAUUACUAUACAGAGGUGUGGAAAUCUGGUGUCCUUUCCCGAAGGGGGAUUGCCUUGUGCGAAACUGACUAGGCUCGAUAUCCGCGACUGUGGGAGACUAGAGGCCUUACCACAGGGAUUGCACAAUCUGACCUCUCUUCAAGAAUUAAUAAUAAUAAGAGGUGAGCUUCCAAGCCUUGAAGAAGAUGGCCUUCCCACCAACCUUCAUUCCCUUAGUAUUCGGGGUAAUAUGGAGAUUUGGAAGUCAAUGAUUGAGCGGGGCUGGGGAUUUCACAGAUUCUCCUCUCUGCGACAACUUACAAUCAUGAAUUGUGAUGACGACAUGGUGUCAUUCCCACCAAAGGCAGAUGACAAAGGAUCGGAGACCGCGCUUCCUCUUCCUGCCUCUCUAACAACUCUGAGGAUUCACAAUUUUCCAAAUCUGGAACGCCUAUCUUCUUCAAUUGUUGAUCUUCAAAACCUCACUGAAUUGCGACUCAUUGGUUGUCCCAAGCUCAAAUACUUUCCGGAGUAGGGCCUGCCUUCCUCACUUUUGCAUUUAAGAAUCGUGGAUUGUCCGUUGAUAGCAGAGAAGUGCAGAAAGGAUGGAGGACAAUAUUGGGACUUAUUAACCCAUAUACCGCAUGUUGAUAUAAAUGGUAAAAUAGGUUUUUGAUGACUGAAAUGUUUUAUUAUUAGAAAUUUUCUUUUUUAGUUGGGUGUGUUUGUGAAUGUAAUUUCAAAUCUUAGUUGAAAACUAUUUUUCUUUUGCAAUUACAGAUGUUGAGAUGUCCGUUGAUGGAAGAGAAGUGCAGAAAGGAUGGAGGACAAUAUUGGGACUUGUCAACCCAUAUACCUUAUGCUCGAAUAGGUUUUUGAUGACGACUCAACAGAGGACGACUAAUGAAUGGGUAGAGGUCGACUAAUCAAUGGGUUCGCAUUAUUUAGCUAGCAAAGGAGGAGGACUCUAUUAAUUAAUUAAUUAAUUAAUUUCUCAUUCUCAGCUGUUGAAACUUCAGUUUCUUAUAUUUGUCUUUUCCGCAGUACAGUUACAUAUAUUUGUCCUUUACAUAAUUUCUUAUGUAAAAUAUUUUAUUAUUAGAAUUUUUUUUUUCUUUUAAAUCAAGCGUGUUUGUGUAUGUAAUUUUAAAAUUCAAAUUUGGCUGUUGAAAUAAACUUCAGUUUCUUUUAUUUGGCUGUACGGUUAAAUAUGUGUAAUAUUUCUCUUCAUCAGACUUCGACAAAAAUUGUUAAUGUUCUUAUUAGUAAUUAAUUAGUACGGUAGUGUUCUUCUUUUGUUCCACAAUUUAUCAAAAGCAUUUUACUACAUAAUCUUUGUACAUGUACAUCGUCAUCAAAUCCCAUAACACCCAAAACAGAAAAUCAAAAGAAAACAAGAACAUGCCACACAAUAUCAAAAACGAAAAGAACAUUAUAACACCAAGUAUUAUAUUUCUCUAAUUAUAUUUCGGCUUUAGUGGCCUUAACUUAAAAUCUCCUCCAGAACAAUCUGCCUCCUCAGCAAUAAUGUUAUAAUGUUCUUUUGAUGUUGUUGUUUUUUUAGGUGCUACUUAAACAGAUGAGGGCUGGGCCGCGUUACAAAAUUAUUUGUAAUUUUUAAUUUAAUUGUUUAUGUGCCAUCGCUAUUAAUAUUAACCGAUAAAUACAAUUUUAUCAAUUACUGAAUAUUUGAAUUCAUCAAAACUGUUAUAAUUGAUCAGGAAGUCCAACUUUGUAGCUAUAAUAUGCUAUUUUCAUAAGACUUCGUUAAAGAUUGUUUUGUAAUUAAUUUCACACAACACAACCCUACAGAAAAUUGACCAAAACAAAAUGAAAUAUCAAGGCUGUAAUUAGCACUUGAUCAAAGGAAAAGAAGAAACAAAUGAAUUUGUAAGGAGUACUGCGAUACGUAUAUGAAUUUGUUUAGAGUUCUUUAUCAUAAAAAAAAUCAAUUGUAUGUCCUUCGUAUUUUCUCUAUAAAAACUUGCAUUAUAGAAAAUCAAAAGAGAAACAGCAUCCCAGAAUGCCAAAAAAAUAUCAGAAACAAAAAUCAAACAAAGCAAUUAAAAAGCAUUUGCUUGUGAUGCCAUGACCAUGAAUGCUACUGCCAUAACAAGAAAUGGCAUUGCAAGACUGUAGAAUGCCACAUGUGCGAAUGAGAAGAACAUUACAAAUCAACAAUUCAAAGAAAAAAGAAGAAUUUAAACCAGCUAAAAGGAUAGGCAUUAGGUAGAAUUUCACACAAAAAACAAGACUAAGAAAAUUUAAGGUGAUUUGCAUUUAUAAUCAGCAAAUGAGUCAACAUAUCAGAAUGAGAAGAACAUUCAGGAAUCACCAGGCAGGACAAGAUCAAGGAGGCAACAAGGAAGCAUUUGUUUUGGCCAAAUAAAGUUUGCAGAUCUUUUAAUGCUAAGAUUAGUAAUAAAACUAUCACUGGGAUAUUGGUUUGGCAAUGUUGAAUUAAUGGCCCUGAGUUUUAUGAUCUUUAUUACAUAUGUAUUUAUUGCAACUACACAUACAUGUAAUAUGUACCUUGUAGGCUUAUUUAUUUAUAUUAAUAAUUAAUAUGAUCUUUUCAAACUUACACGAAGUUGUUGAACAUAAAAAUACUCAAAUAUUCAGUGUUCUUGAUUAAAUUAGCAUCAAUGGACAUAAUUAAAUAAAGAAAAUCGGAUUAUUACGAUGAUUGGUUUAGUUAGCUACAUUAGUGUUAUUUUGUCUAAUUAUCAAGGAUAACAUUCAAUUAUAUAUAAUAUGUCCUUCAUAUUUUCUCUUUUAAUUAAAAUCGUAAAAAGACUUGCAAUAUAG
rnacentral:lncRNA from 1 species